rnacentral:misc_RNA from 1 species
GCACCUCUCACUCCCUUUCUCUAACUAGUCUUGUGUGCACCCAUUUAUGUGUACGUACUAUUAUCUCAUAAAUAAAUAUUUUUAAAAUUAGAUGCAUUUAUUGAUAUGAAAAAGUUACAAGAUUAGUUUGUUGUGUGUGAGACUUUGGAUCGACAGAUCGAAAAAUUAACUAACCGGUCAGUAUUGAAUAUCAACUAUUAUAUGCUCCAUGCAUUCGCUUAUAGUUUCACACAAUUUGUUUUCUUCACGGUCUAAAAUCAGAAGAUUCCAUAUAUUUUCUUAUGACGUAAAAGGACCACUUAUAAGUUGACACGUCAGCCCUUGGAUUCGUGAGGUUUUUCUCUCUACUUCACCUAUCUACUUUUCCUCAUAUCCCACUGCUUUUCUCCUUCUUGUUCUUGUUUUUCUCGUUUUUUUCUUCUUCUUCUCCAAGAAAAUAGAGAUCGAAAAGAUUAGAUCUAUUUUGUGUAGCAAGAAAUUAUCAUUUUCGUUUCUUCAUUCAUAUAUUGUUCUAUUAUGUUGUACAAUAAUAGAUACUCGAUCUCUUGUGCGUGCGUAAAUUUUAUACAAGUUGUCGGCGGAUCCAUGGAAGAAAGC